rnacentral:misc_RNA from 1 species
GAUUUAAAUUUAUGCAAAUUCUUGGUGUUUAGAGGCUCAGAAACUUAGCAUAUUGUUUGUUUUCGAAGAAGAUAAAACAAACAUUUGGUAUCAGGGAUUGAAAUAUUGCUGCAAGACAUGCUGUUGUUACCAUUACUAAUCCUGCCAUGGAAAAUCUAUCUGGCUCACCGAGUGCCAGCAUUAUCUUAUGAGAGCAGGGAAAGUUAAACUCUUUACAUGAUGUCUAGAAUCAAGUGUGUGCAAGUGCAAAACUGUGGUUUUUCUCUUCCAUUAACCUGUUACUGCUUAUUGUUUCUUAAUCUUUAUUCCUUUUUGUAUUCAACUAUCGAGGAUGCUUUGUUUGAAAAAUCUUGAUUGAUUCUAACAUCACAUGAAUGCAAUUGUACUUGUAACUAG